rnacentral:rRNA from 1 species
UACGUAGGGACCGAGCGUUGUCCGGAUUCAUUGGGCGUAAAGAGCUCGUAGGCGGCUGUUCAAGUCGAACGUGAAAACUCGGAGCUCAACUCCGAGCCUGCGUUCGAGACUGGAUGGCUAGAGUCUGGUAGGGGGAUCUGGAAUUCCUGGUGUAGCGGUGGAAUGCGCAGAUAUCAGGAGGAACACCGGUGGCGAAGGCGGGAUCCUGGGCCAGUACUGACGCUGAGGAGCGAAAGCGUGGGGAGCAAAGCAGG